UUACCCGUGACGCUUCGGUGUCAUGGGUAUCGAAUGGCGGUGAUUCGCCAUGAGAGGGAACCCGGUGAGAAUCCGGGACUGUCCCGCAGCGGUAAGCAGGAACGACCGCCGUCAUCCGCACUGGUUCAUCUCGAAUUGGGAAGCGACGGCCACUAGGGCGUGUCUCCCGAAUGUGAGGGUGUUAUCGGCGACGAUUGAUCGGUGACA
rnacentral:ncRNA from 2 species